GAUGAACGCUGGCGGCGUGCCUAACACAUGCAAGUCGAACGAAGCAUGCCUUCCCCUUGCCCCUCGGGGCAAGGCGGGCAUGACUGAGUGGCGGACGGGUGAGUAACGCGUGGGCAACCUGCCUUACACAGGGGGACAACAGCCGGAAACGGCUGCUAAUACCGCAUAUGCGCACAGUGCCGCAUGGCAUGGUGCGGAAAGCCUUGGCAGUGUAAGAUGGGCCCGCGUCCGAUUAGGUAGUUGGUGCGGCAACGGCGCACCAAGCCGACGAUCGGUAGCCGGCCUGAGAGGGUGGACGGCCACAUUGGGACUGAGACACGGCCCAGACUCCUACGGGAGGCAGCAGUGGGGGAUAUUGCACAAUGGGCGAAAGCCUGAUGCAGCGACGCCGCGUGGGCGAAGAAGUACCUCGGUAUGUAAAGCCCUAUCAGCAGGGAAGAAGAUGACGGUACCUGACUAAGAAGCUCCGGCUAAAUACGUGCCAGCCGCCGCCGUAAUAC
rnacentral:rRNA from 1 species